AAAUAAAUCAGUUCUCAUCGCAUUAUCAAAUUUGACUACUUAUUUUGGGCCACAUAUACACCAAUUAUCUGUGUGGAAACAAUAAAAAUCAUAGUAUAGGAGUAUACGGUUCUCUUUGUGAAUUUCCAUUCAAAAUAAUUCUUCUUUAGAAGCUGUCAAACUUGCAUUUCCAAAUGCAAAUGACGAUGUCAUUAAAGAUGGCAUAAGUGCUUGGCUGGAUACUGCAAACACGCGGCUAAAGAGAGAAGCAAGUGGAAAAGGUCCAAAAAGGGCGCCAUUCCAGCCAAUAGUUAUUGACGAAACCCUGAACAGUGGCGAAGAAUCCGAUCCAUAAUUAUUUACUUAUUUUAUUCAGCAGUAAUUAUUCUAAUAAAUAAAGUAGAGAUCAGUAAUUUAAUAAAAACACAAGCUUAAUUUGUAAUUGAUACAUUUUUUCAAUAAAUAAAGGUAUGUAAUCAUUCGAUUUGAAGGUUUCUUUGAGCUAAUAUCAAUUAAUUUUAAGGGAAGUGUAACUCUUGCUUAUAAAAUUUUGACAAAGAAGACUUCAAAACAUAAUCUUUUGCUUCAAAA